CCGCAUCUGCUCCCUCCCUCCUGCUCUCUCUCAUCUCUUUCAUUUUGAGCAAAAAGUUCAGCUCCUUUCAACAAUGGCAGAUCCUGCCACCCUACUUUCGUGCAAUACGCACAACUCCUGACCCCUUCUCUCUUCUUUCUUUUUCCCUCUGCUCUUUUUCUCGUCGUCUUCCUCUAUUUUUAGCAAAAAUACAGCUCCCCUUAGCCAUGGCAGAUAUUUGCCACCCCUUUUUCGUGCUAGUAGCUGCGGUCAACACAAGAGGCCAAGCUGUUGUUGAAAUCUGAUUUUAUACAGAGAAAAUAAAAAAAACAUCUCGACCCGUGACCUCUUUUGGGAUUCCUUUUCCUUUGAAUUUGAAUUUUAAAUGUCUGAAACCCUAGUAUUCAUUUCAUAUAAAUACACCCCUCACAAAAUGUUUUUGGGACAACUAACUUUACCACAUUCAACAUUUCGAUAUUUUCGACUGCUGCUCUAAUCUUGGGUUUAUCCAAAUUCGGUUCUGUUCGGGAUUUUUUUUCGACUGGUGUUUGGAGAUUAUUUGAAAAUCAAACCAAACUUCCUUUUAAAAAAGAGUAUUCGGUUCUAUUGAAAUUUUUGAUUCGAAAGACUUUUUUCGAGUUCGAGUUCGUCGCGUUCGAGUGUAGAUUCGAGACUUGACGUCCCCACUUCACUGUACCACAAAAAGACAUGGCUGGACAGGGACAAGCUCGAAGUACUCCAAGUGGGAGUUUCCGAAAUCGAGCAAGGAGACAAUGUAGAAGAGUACGUCGUCGUGGGACACAUUUCCAUGGACGUGAAGUCAUAAGGAAUAAUGUUCCAAGGGCGACCCAAAAUCUACUAAGGGAUCAAAGGGCUAUACGAAGGGAAGGAGAGAAAUUUAAAGAGUUUAAAGCUUUUAAGAUGUCUCCUAAUACUUCAAUGCCUGAACAUAUUGAACUUUUUCGGUUGCAACGAGAAGAACUGGCUAAUUUUAUUGAAAUCUCGGAUUGGGAAGCUUUAGCAAUUUUAGUAGAUUCCCUCCAAGAGCCUUGGAGUGGUAUUUUAGUUAAUAUUUAUCACGAUUUCUUUCUAAGUCAACCUAUUGAGGUGUAUGUUCAAGAACUUGAAUUCGAGUGGGAGAUUAUGAACUUGUAAUUUAAAUUGUGAUUUUUUUUAAUAUAUGGUUAUGUUGUUUAA